AUUGAACGCUGGCGGCAGGCCUAACACAUGCAAGUCGAGCGGAUGACGGGAGCUUGCUCCUCGAUUCAGCGGCGGACGGGUGGGUAAUACCUAGGAAUCUGCCUGAUAGUGGGGGACAACGUUUCGAAAGGAACGCUAAUACCGCAUACGUCCUACGGGAGAAAGCAGGGGACCUUCGGGCCUUGCGCUACCAGAUGAGCCUAGGUCGGAUUAGCUAGUUGGUGAGGUAAUGGCUCACCAAGGCGACGAUCCGUAACUGGUCGGAGAGGAUGAUCAGUCACACUGGAACUGAGACACGGUCCAGACUCCUACGGGAGGCAGCAGUGGGGAAUAUUGGACAAUGGGCGAAAGCCUGAUCCAGCCAUGCCGCGUGUGUGAAGAAGGUCUUCGGAUUGUAAAGCACUUUAAGUUGGGAGGAAGGGCAGUAAGCUAAUACCUUGCUGUUUUGACGUUACCGACAGAAUAAGCACCGGCUAACUCUGUGCCAGCAGCCGCCGUAAUAC
rnacentral:rRNA from 1 species